rnacentral:rRNA from 1 species
GAUGAACGCUGGCGGCGUGCCUAACACAUGCAAGUCGAGCGAAAAGAUGAGGACCUUUGGCCCCCGACGGUGUCAGGCGACGGGAGAGGAACAUGUGGACAAACUACCUCCAAGACAGGGAUAACAUUAGGGAACCGGAGCUUAUACCCGAAAAUAUAUUGAACCGCAUUGGUCAAUAGUUAAAUACGGUGUUUGUGUGACUUAUAGAUUGAUCCGCGCCCGAUUAGCUAGUUGGUAAGGUAAAGGCUUACCAAGGCAACGAUGCGUAGACGACCUGAGCGGGUGAUCGGCCACACUGGAACUGAGACACGGUCCAGACUCCUACGGGAGGCCGCAGUAGGGAAUCUUACGCAAUGGGCGAAAGCCUGACGGAGCAACGCCGUGUGAGUGAUGAAGGUCUUCGGAUCGUAAAACUCUGUUAUUAGGGAAGAACAAAUGUGUAAGUAACUAUGCACGUCUUGACGGUACCUAAUCAGAAAGCCACGGCUAACUACGUG